GGUAAAGUAUUAGGUCAUCCCAUAAGUUCGUGCCGACUUUUGUGUAUACAUUUCAUGUGUCAAUUUAUAAACAUACGGCGAUAAGGGACCAAUGCACUUGAGCUUAGCUGAUCGAGAACAGACGAGGAAUGCUCCGGGCGUCCUCCUCAGACAGACGAAGAUAAAAUUCGGGAUCUUGUUGAAAAAUCACGAAGUUUGACAGUUCAAGAGAUGUCAAAUGUUCUGAAAAUACCUAAGACAACGAUUCAUAGGUAUAUAAACAAUCUUAACAUAUAUAACCGCUCGAAAAACGGCACGAACUUAUGGGAUGACCUAAUAU
rnacentral:misc_RNA from 1 species